CUCUUCUAAUCCAUUCUCUCUCCUGCCCUGUAGGCUCAUGCCUGGAGCUUGCUAUCACCAUGUGACUUCAAAACCCACCACAUCAAACCUCCAAGGAAAUGCUUUGACUCAAGGGUCUGUUGUGUAAGUACAGACAGAAAAAUGCAGCAUGAGCACUGGGCUACUCACAACAAAGCCACAGCAGAGAUGGGAUAGAGAGCUGUACAGUCUGCAGGCUGGGCCUGCUCUUACCAUACACUCGUCUGGGACCGUUCUGAACAGCUAUAAGAUAAAUAUUGUGUUCGGAGUCCCUCCUGUGGCACUUCUGCAUUUCAGUGCAGAUGUGGACAACCUCAGAGAUGGUAGCACUCCGGCAGGAUCCCCAUCUCUGUCCUGCCAGCCAUGAAGGAUCUCCACUACACCACAACGAGCCUGAGACCUUCAGGAUGGACAACUGACUGCUUCCAAAGAUAGAAACGAUUUGCAGCAUGCACAGUGCUGCAGGUCCCUGUAGCAGUCUCAGCUAAGCAGUGACAGAUGAUGCUAUCACACAAGUACUCCAACCACGCUGUGGUUUGGUAUUGGUGUAAGACUUCUUGAGAGGUUAGGCUUGCCCAGGAGGAAACACAGCUACAGGAGGAGAAGUAAUGCAGGGCAGUGAAGACCUGGAAAAGCAAAUAUGGCUCUUUACAAGGCACUGAAAAUCCUCUGCUGUUCAAGCCAUGGAAGAGUGGACCACUUCAGACCUGCUUCAGCCCAGAGAUGGACCACAAUUAGGACAUGCAACAGACUUGUCCUCUGUGGAGCAACUGGGAACCAACAUGAUUCUCCAACAGGUUAUGCAUACAAAAAAAACCCAUCUUAUGUGCAAUCAAAAUGAGUAGACUCUAAGGUGAGAAGCCCACAUGUUAACAAGACAGUUUUCCCCAGUUUUCACUACUCAUCAGCUUUUGCUAAACUAAGAACAAACACAGCAGUGCUGAGCAACUCCUGGCCACAAACUCAGGAAAAGUCACCAACCUCCUGGCCUUGCUGCACUUCCAUCCUUUCUCAGAUGGUGCAACAUCAAACCUUCUGCAUAGGUGCAUGCUGAAACCAUUAUAAAUGAGGGAUUUUUUUUAUGCAGGGGGUCAGAUGUGUAUGCAAUAGGAAGUCUGAGCUGCUGGGUAUUGGCACCAUUUACAUCAUCCCUUUCCAAGGCAAACGUCAGGGCCCUCACUGGGCCACAGAGCAAAGGCUGGCAGCCACUUGGGAUGCUCAGCUCUGCAUCCCUCCUGCAUGGAUCGCAGAGGUACGAGAAGAGAAGGUUGAGAUUAAAAAGGGCCAGCCAGCCAGCACUUCGUAUUCUAUGGAUUGCUGAAACAUUAAGGCUGGCUGGGAUGGCCCCAGGUAGGUGAGAGCACAGUGCUCUCCCUCCAACUCUGCUCUCCCACAGGAGCAAAUCAGCUCCUGGGGAGUCGCUUGCCUUUCAUCAGGGAAGGAGUUGGCUUGUACAUGUCCCAAGCUACUCCUGAAUGAAAUUCCAAGAAAAAGUGUUUGUUUACAGAGUGACAGAGUUACUAAACCAGCCAAUCAACCUGCCUGAAGUAUUGUGUUAGUGCAACAUACUUGUGCAAGCCAAGUAUUAAUAAGAGGGCUUACGUUUCUGUUGGAUGUGCCAUGAGUCAAGCAUCCAAUGCAGAUGGCUCCUAAACAAACUCCAUGUGCUGCAGGAAAUUCAAAGUGAUUGAUAAACCCUUUUCCCCUCAGGUGGAGACAAGACUGACAUAAUGCCUAAUAAAUCCCCCAGGAGAAGGUGGUCUGUAAUUCACCUUUGGGAGGUUUGUAUGUGCAGAUAAUGGACUGUUUGGCUCCACUGGGCUCACACCAUGCCCUGGCCAGGCCCUGCAGCAUUUUAUUGCGGCUGCCCCUCAGCACUCAGGGCCUCUGUUUCUCUGAGAGGGUGGUGCAGUCACACUCUUCUUGUGCUUGGCUGUCCAGCCAGACCAGUUUGCAAGUAGUCAAAAAUACAGGUUUUGUCUGACAGGAGAUCCUCUGUUCAGCACAAGCCAGAAGUAGCUAGCAGGGGGUUGGCCUGAAAGCUUCCUGCCCCAAAGGGAUAGUCCUCCCAGCUCAGCCAUUUGCAGCAGGGGCAGUGGGACCAAGGCAGCCACUCCACCCAGGGAAAAAGCAGUCUCUUCAGCCUCUCCUGCAAAGCAGAGCUGAUAUUCUGGCUUGUCUCAUACCUUCCUGCACUCCAGCAGCCUGUACCAUCCUCAUCCCCAUGGCUCAACUGCAUCGCACCCCACCUUAAGCAAAGGAAGCUCCAGCCACAACUUAGCUGCACAAUUGAGAGCUAGAAGUACCCUCUCUUCUUUAUCUUUCUUUCCUUUUUUUUUUUUUUUUUUU